AUGCUUACCUGGCAGAGGAAAUAUCAUGAUCAUGAAGGUGGUUUUCCCGCGGUGAGCACCAUCCAUUGAACUCCGAUUAGGCUGACCCCUGUGAUUUCUCCAAAUGAAGGGAACUCAAAUGCAUUGAUUUGUGGUAGGGAGGCAUUGCAUUCAUGCACAUGGCAUUU
rnacentral:snRNA from 1 species